rnacentral:rRNA from 1 species
UACGGAGGAUGCGAGCGUUAUCCGGAUUUAUUGGGUUUAAAGGGUGCGUAGGCGGGCAUUUAAGCCGGCGGUCAAAUGUCGGGGCUCAACCCCGGCCUGCCGUCGGAACUGGGUGCCUUGAGUGGGCGAGAAGUAUGCGGAAUGCGUGGUGUAGCGGUGAAAUGCGUAGAUAUAUGGAAGAACACCAGUGGCGAAAGCGGCUCUCUGGUCUGUAACUGACGCUGAGGUUCGAAAGCGUGGGUAGCAAACAGG